CAACUUUCAACAAUGGAUCUCUUGGCUCCAGCAUCGAUGAAGAACGCAGCGAAAUGCGAUAACUAGUGUGAAUUGCAGAUUUCAGUGAAUCAUCGAGUCUUUGAACGCACAUUGCGCCUCUUGGUAUUCCUCGAGGCAUGCCUAUCGAGCGUCGUUU
rnacentral:rRNA from 2 species